rnacentral:rRNA from 1 species
CCUACGGGUGGCAGCAGUGAGGAAUAUUGGUCAAUGGGCGGGAGCCUGAACCAGCCAAGCCGCGUGAAGGAAGAAUGCACAGCGUAUCGUAAACCUCUUUUAUCAAGGAACAAAGUGGGGGACUAGUCCCCGGAUGCAGGUACCUGAUGAAAAAGCAUCGGCUAACUCCGUGCCAGCAGCCGCGGUAAUACGGAGGAUGCGAGCGUUAUCCGGAUUUAUUGGGUUUAAAGGGUGCGCAGGUGGGCUGUUAAGUCAGGUGUGAAAGGUCGCGGCUCAACCGUCGGAGUGCAGUUGAUACUGGCGGGCUGGAGUUCGGGAGAGGUACGCGGAAUUCGUGGUGUAGCGGUGAAAUGCUUAGAUAUCGCGCAGAACCCCGAUUGCGAAGGCAGCGUACUGGCCCCACACUGACACUGAGGCACGAAAGCGUGGGUAUCGAACAGGAUUAGAUACCCUAGUAGUC